rnacentral:lncRNA from 1 species
CUUAAAGUACUUGCAUGAUUUAGGUGUCACUAUAACAAGUACCUCUGCUUUCAAAAGGCUUCUAAGCUCUGACAAGCUAAGAAGCUGCAUUUCCAGUGUAUGCCUCAGGAAUUUCAACGGUUCAAGCUCUCUCAAUUUAACAUCUCUCUGCAAUGUAAAGAAUCUCUGUGAGUUGUCUAUCUCAAACUGUGGCUCGUUGGAAAAUUUGGUGAUUGAUUGGGCUUGGGAAGGAAAGAAAACAACAGAAUCUAAUUACCUUAACUCAAAGGUCAGUUCCCACAACAGUUUCCACAGCCUUGAGGUGGUGGUCAUCGAAAGCUGUUCGAGGUUGAAGGACCUCACAUGGGUUGCUUUUGCUCCAAACCUUAAAGCGCUUACAAUAAUUGAUUGUGAUCAAAUGCAAGAAGUAAUAGGUACCGGUAAAUGUGGUGAAUCUGCAGAGAAUGGAGAAAAC